rnacentral:rRNA from 1 species
AUUGAACGCUGGCGGCAGGCCUAACACAUGCAAGUAGAACGAGUGGCGGACGGGUGAGUAAUGUCUGGGAAACUGGCCGAUGGAGGGGGAUAACUACUGGAAACAGUAGCUAAUACAGCAUACCAUCGGAUGUGCACAGAUGGGAUUAGCUAGUAGGUGGGGUAACGGCUAACCUAGGCGACGAUCCCUAUCGGGUCUGAUAGGAUGACCAGCCAACCUGGAACUGAGACACGGUCCAGACCCCUACGGGAGGCAGCAGUGGGGAAUAUUGCACAAUGGGCGCAAGCCUGAUGCAGCCAUGCCGCGUGUAUGAAGAAGGCCUUCGGGUUGUAAAGUACUUUCAGCGAGGAGGCGUUACUCGCAGAAGAAGCACCGGCUAACUCCGUGCCAGCAGCCGCGGUAAUAC